rnacentral:rRNA from 1 species
AGAGACAGCAGUAGCCGCGGUAAAACGUAGGUCCCGAGCGUUGUCCGGAUUUAUUGGGCGUAAAGGGAGCGCAGGCGGUUUAGUAAGUCUGAAGUUAAAGGCAUUGGCUCAACCAAUGUAUGCUUUGGAAACUGUUAGACUUGAGUGCAGAAGGGGAGAGUGGAAUUCCAUGUGUAGCGGUGAAAUGCGUAGAUAUAUGGAGGAACACCGGUGGCGAAAGCGGCUCACUGGACCAUUACUGACGCUGAUGCACGAAAGCUAGGGGAGCAAACAGGAUUAGAUACCCCUGUAGUCCCUGUCUCUUAUACA